CGGCAAGUGGUCCACCACGGCAGAACCGACAGGGUCUGGAAGAAGGCGGAACAACCAAAUCAGGGGCGAAACACAGACAACGCCACUGUUCGAGGAAAAGCAUUGCUGGCAGGUCAAAGCCCACAAUUGUCACGUGCAACAAGCAACGAUCGAACAACGAAGGAUCAACAUUAAUCGUGCAGCGCUUCAUUUCAUUGCACAAUCACAACAGGGGAUCGACGAGGUUCCCUGUUGUGCCGGACCUAAGAGUCGACGAGAACAAACUGCUGUCAGGCACGCCAUCCUCUUCAGGACAGUAGGGACGCCCAAUUGUACGGUUGAGACGAGUGAGAGUUGUAAGGCGGUGCGGGAACCAACGGCACGUGGGAAGUCGUCAGCAGACGCGGCGAGCCGAGGGGAGAAAGCGAGGACGGUGAAAAUGUGCGAAAAGUGGAAGUCCGGGAAGUCGUGCGAGGUGGCAUAGAAUAGGCGGUGACCGCACGGGGCCGAAGGCCCGCUGUGAGUACAUAGAGAUUAAGAAUCAAGUGCACGCAAUAAUAGGGACCUCAAGAUAGAUGAAUAGGAGAGCAGGAUCCCUGCAAUAAAUGUUUGAGAUACAAUGAUUGAGUAGUUUGGUUCUAUUUGAUUUGGUUUUUGGAAGUUAGUACGU